rnacentral:rRNA from 1 species
UCUACAGUCAUAUCACCCUGAACAUGUCAGAUGUUGUCUGAUCUCAGAAGCUAAGCAGGGUCAGGUCUGGUUAGUACUUGGAUGGAAGAAACCACUGACAAAAAAAAAAAAGUACUGAAUGAA